AUGCUCACUUUGGCAGCACACAUACUAAAAUUGGAGUGAUACAGAGAUUAGCAUGGCCCCCUGCACAAAAAUUAUUUUUAAAAAUUAAAAUUUUAAAAAGUGAAG
rfam:Callithrix jacchus chromosome 14, whole genome shotgun sequence